rnacentral:rRNA from 1 species
AGCGAAAUAAUAGUAGCGAAGUUCCUGAUGUCACACUGCCAAGAAAAGCUUCUAGUGAGAAAACAACUGCCCGUACCGUAAACCGACACAGGUAGUCGAGGAGAGUAUCCUAAGGUGAGCGAGCGAACUCUCGUUAAGGAACUCGGCAAAAUGACCCCGUAACUUCGGGAGAAGGGGUGCUGACUUCGGUCAGCCGCAGUGAAUAGGCCCAAGCGACUGUUUAUCAAAAACACAGGUCUCUGCAAAAUCGUAAGAUGAAGUAUAGGGGCUGACGCCUGCCCGGUGCUGGAAGGUUAAGAGGAUGGGUUAGCUUCGGCGAAGCUCAGAAUUGAAGCCCCAGUAAACGGCGGCCGUAACUAUAACGGUCCUAAGGUAGCGAAAUUCCUUGUCGGGUAAGUUCCGACCCGCACGAAAGGCGUAACGAUUUGGGCACUGUCUCAACGAGAGACUCGGUGAAAUUUUAGUACCUGUGAAGAUGCAGGUUACCCGCGACAGGACGGAAAGACCCCAUGGAGCUUUACUGUAGUUUGAUAUUGAGUGUUUGUACCACAUGUACAGGAUAGGUAGGAGCCGAUGAGACCGGA